AGUUGUUCGGUUUUACUCCUCCUCCCAAAAACCGAACCUGAAGCGCGAUACUCCUCCUCCCAAUCGCGCUUUACCAAUCCGCCCGCAGCAACUUCUCCUCCUCCCAAAUUGCUGCGGGCGUUUUGC
rnacentral:sRNA from 3 species